rnacentral:rRNA from 2 species
CCCUUUGGGUGUGACUGCGUACCUUUUGUAUAAUGGGUCAGCGACUUAUAUUCUGUAGCAAGGUUAACCGAAUAGGGGAGCCGGAGGGAAACCGAGUCUUAACCGGGCGUUAAGUUGCAGGGUAUAGACCCGAAACCCGGUGAUCUAGCCAUGGGCAGGUUGAAGGUUGGGUAACACUAACUGGAGGACCGAACCGACUAAUGUUGAAAAAUUAGCGGAUGACCUGUGGCUGGGGGUGAAAGGCCAAUCAAACCGGGAGAUAGCUGGUUCUCCCCGAAAGCUAUUUAGGUAGCGCCUCGUGAAUUCAUCUCCGGGGGUAGAGCACUGUUUCGGCUAGGGGGCCAUCCCGGCUUACCAACCCGAUGCAAACUGCGAAUACCGGAGAAUGUUAUCACGGGAGACACACGGCGGGUGCUAACGUCCGUCGUGAAGAGGGAAACAACCCAGACCGCCAGCUAAGGUCCCAAAGUCAUGGUUAAGUGGGAAACGAUGUGGGAAGGCCCAGACAGCCAGGAUGUUGGCUUAGAAGCAGCCAUCAUUUAAAGAAAGCGUAAUAGCUCACUGGUCGAGUCGGCCUGCGCGGAAGAUGUAACGGGGCUAAACCAUGCACCGAAGCUGCGGCAGCGACACUGUGUGU